CAGCUAAUGCCGGAUGAGACCACGGAGCCUUCGGGUUCUGUGGCCAAAGAUGGCCUCUGCUUGCAAGCUAUCGCCUGGGGAUGGGCCUGCGGGCCAUUAGCUAGUUGGUGAGGUAACGGCUCACCAAGGCAGUGAUGGCUAGCUGGUCUGAGAGGAUGACCAGCCACACUGGGACUGAGACACGGCCCAGACUCCUACGGGAGGCAGCAGUGGGGAAUAUUGCGCAAUGGGCGAAAGCCUGACGCAGCGACGCCGCGUGGGUGAUGAAGGCCUUCGGGUCGUAAAGCCCUGUCGCAGGGGAAGAAUAAGCGGUGGGAUAAUACCCCAUCGCCCUGACGGUACCCUGCAAGAAAGCACCGGCUAACUCCGUGCCAGCAGUCGCGGUAAUACGGAGGGUGCAUCGGAAUUACUGGGCGUAAAGCGCGUGUA
rnacentral:rRNA from 1 species